rnacentral:rRNA from 1 species
AGGGGUAUAGUUCUUCGGAACUAGAGACCGGCGCACGGGUGCGUAACGCGUAUGCAAUCUACCUUUUACAGAGGGAUAGCCCAGAGAAAUUUGGAUUAAUACCUCAUAGUAUGUGAGAAUCGCAUGGUUUUCACAUUAAAGUUCCAACGGUAAAAGAUGAGCAUGCGUCCCAUUAGCUAGAUGGUAAGGUAACGGCUUACCAUGGCGACGAUGGGUAGGGGUCCUGAGAGGGAGAUCCCCCACACUGGUACUGAGACACGGACCAGACUCCUACGGGAGGCAGCAGUGAGGAAUAUUGGACAAUGGGCGCAAGCCUGAUCCAGCCAUGCCGCAUGCAGGAUGACGGUCCUAUGGAUUGUAAACUGCUUUUGUACAGGAAGAAACACUCCCUCGUGAGGGAGCUUGACGGUACUGUAAGAAUAAGGAUCGGCUAACUCCGUGCCAGCAGCCGCGGUAAUACGGAGGAUCCAAGCGUUAUCCGGAAUCAUUGGGUUUAAAGGGUCCGUAGGCGGUUUAAUAAGUCAGUGGUGAAAGCCCAUCGCUCAACGGUGGAACGGCCAUUGAUACUGUUAAACUUGAAUUAUUAGGAAGUAACUAGAAUAUGUAGUGUAGCGGUGAAAUGCUUAGAGAUUACAUGGAAUAUCAAUUGCGAAGGCAGGUUACUACUAAUGGAUUGACGCUGAUGGACGAAAGCGUGGGUAGCGAACAGGAUUAGAUACCCUGGUAGUCCACGCCGUAAACGAUGGAUACUAGCUGUUGGGAGCAAUCUCAGUGGCUAAGCGAAAGUGAUAAGUAUCCCACCUGGGGAGUACG